rnacentral:rRNA from 1 species
GACGAAGAUACUAAGGGCGCACGGCGGAUGCCUUGGCACAGGAAGUCGACGAAGGACGCGGCAAGCUGCGAUAAGCUGCGGGGAGGGGCAAACACCCUUUGAUCCGCAGGUCUCCGAAUGGGGCAACCCAGAUGGGGUCAUGCCCAUCUAUCCCCGCCUGAACAGAAUAGGGCGGCGGAAGGCAACCCGGGGAACUGAAACAUCUAAGUACCCGGAGGAAGAGAAAUCAACCGAGAUCGCGGGAGUAGCGGCGAGCGAAACCGCGCGAGCCCAAACCCAUGCACGUGUAAGCUUGAGGGCGUUGCUGCAUGAGGGGUUGCGGGACCGCGCAUCCCAUGGGCCUCAGACCAUGGGCGGAGUUACAAAGGGGCGCGCUAGCGGAACGGCCUGGGAAGGCCGGCGGAACAGGGUGAGAGCCCCGUACGCACAAGCGCGCCCCCUCCGAGCGGGGCACCCGAGUAGCGCCGGGCACGUGAAACCCGGUGCGAA